rnacentral:rRNA from 1 species
ACUCAAAUGAAUUGACGGGGGCCCGCACAAGCAGUGGAUUAUGUGGUUUAAUUCGAAGCAACGCGAAGAACCUUACCGGCCUUUGACAUCCCUUCGACCGGCGUAGAGAUACGCCUUCCCUUCGGGGCGGAGGUGACAGGUGGUGCAUGGUUGUCGUCAGCUCGUGUCGUGAGAUGUUGGGUUAAGUCCCGCAACGAGCGCAACCCUUACUAUUAGUUGCUACAUUAAGUUGAGCACUCUAAUGGGACUGCCGUUGACAAAACGGAGGAAGGUGGGGAUGACGUCAAAUCAUCAUGCCCUUUAUGAGCCGGGCUACACACGUAAUACAAUGGCAAUUAACAAUGGGAAGCAAUGCCGCGAGGCGGAGCAAAUCCCCAAAAAUUGUCUCAGUUCGGAUUGCAGGCUGCAACCCGCCUGCAUGAAGUCGGAAUUGCUAGUAAUCGUGAAUCAGCAUGUCACGGUGAAUACGUUCCCGGGCCUUGCACACACCGCCCGU